rnacentral:pre_miRNA from 1 species
GCUUGGGAGACAUACUUCUUUAUAUGCCCAUAUGAACAAGAGCAGCUAUGGAAUGUAAAGAAGUAUGUAUCUCAGGC